GAAUUGGGAAACGACAGCCACUUCGAAAAUGCAGCCAUUGAUUACAUCAGGAAGAUGUGACAAAUGGAGCCCUUUUUUUUUGCAACGAAGAACGGCUGAUGCAUCGUUUGAUUUGAACAGCAGUGUUAAAGGAACAUAAAACAAGUAACUUGGAGAACUAACACAUGUGUGAUUUGAAAAGUCCAAAUGAGGAAAAGGUCAUGGAUGACAAGCUUCAGACCAAUUCUGAUGCAAUAGAUAACUAUCGAAUCCGUUGAUUCACACACGAAUACCAGAGGCAACUUUUUAAACCCUGUUGAUUUCGUAGACUUCCCAACGAGCCAAGGCAUCAAGGCAAUACAUUCAACCAAGGUAGCAUCCAAGUUCUGAGAUGGAUUAGAAGCCUGAGAAAAUAUGAUAGUGUAAGCUCUAAGAGCAUCAUCCCACCUUUGUAACAUCUCAU